rnacentral:miRNA from 1 species
CAUGUGACGCGUGGAUGUGUGUGUGUGUGUGUGUGUGUGUGUGUGCGUGUGCACGCGCGUGUAUAUUAUCACACACACAAACACACUCACACAUACACACAGUACGUAUA